GAAUGGCAUCACGAGGGUUGAACUGUCUCCUUUCUCUAAUCAGUGAAACUAAUUUUCCCGUGAAGAAGCGGGAAUAAUUCUAUAAGACGAGAAGACCCUAUGGAGCUUUAAAUACAUAACACUUGCUAUUACCUAUAAUCUCCCGAUAUUCAAUCUUUAUCCAAGCAUNAUGAUUAUUAAUUUUAGGUUGGGGCGACCACGGAGCAAAAAUUAACCUCCACAUUGUAAAAAUUUUUUUAAGCAAAAAGUUACAACUUUAAGCAUCAAUAAAUUGACAUUUAUUGACCCAAUAUUUUGAUCAACGAACCAAGUUACCCUAGGGAUAACAGCGCAAUCCACUUUGAGAGCUCUUAUCGACAAGUGG
rnacentral:rRNA from 1 species